GAAUCUCUGCCAUCCUCCUCUGUAGCUGGCUGGCUGAAGUGUUCUCAAUAUGUGUGAGAGUUGAGGGAUUUAGCUUUGAUCUCUGAGAAUGUUCUUUCCUGUCAUGGUAGCCUGAGGGAUAAGAAAAGAAGAAAAUGUUGGGAGACAUAUUGGUCAUUGAGAAGAAUUGCCAACAAUGAGAAACGGGACCAUUUUUACCCCUCCAGAGUUCUUUGAGCCAAGGAAGCAACUCUCAGAUGUCGACAGGAACCUGCGGCUCAGGUUGGGCAGUAGAGCCACUGAAGAAUGUUGUGAUUCAGCUCCUGCCAACUUAUGGUCUAAAGUAGAGACUGCAGCAAAGGGAACUGUGGGAACAUUAGAAUGCAGCACAAAGAAGUCUUUUUUGGACUUUUUUGGUGUAUUAAAACUUCUCUGCAGUUAAUAAAUGAGUUCAUGAAGUCAGAGAGGACACAGAGAUCUGGUGUGAAGUAGUGGAGCAGAGAUUCAAGACUUUCGGGUCUAGUCACAGCCUCAAUUAAACUCCCGGAGCCUUAGUUGAAGCACCUUGCUGGAAGGUCAUUUUCCCCUGCUGACAAUGGACAAGAGUCUGAAUACUGAAGAUUCAGCAGAUACUGCAUCUGGUAUGUGCUAAUUUACUGGAACUAUAUGAUCUGAUCUCAUCAAGAAACUUUGGGAUUUGUCACUAGGCUGAUUCUGAUAAGCUCAUUCCCUUCAGCAAGGCAAACGAGGAAGUCAUUUAUAUAAGCAGAGAUUCAUUUUGGACUGACCUGUUUCUCUGAGCUGAAGAUGAGGACCUGGAAGAUGCAAUUUCCACUGAACUCAGCUUGCUGAAUCAGAUGGUAGUGAAGCUGUGACUGGCACAUAGUAGGAAUUCAAGUCAGCCUUGUCAAAAUUAUUUCCUGCUGUUGAAUCUCCUCUAGAUCUGUUAAGAGUUUCUGACACUAAUAACAAAAUCUUUGAAUUUUGUAAAUAGUAAUUGUCUGUCUGAUUGCUUAUCUAUGUUACGUUUUCAGUUGGGGAAGUUGAAGAGAAGUCAAAGGACAUGAAGCCCCAGCCUACCAAUGUUUUAUUUGCAAGCACUCUGAAUUCAUAACUCAGUGAGACUUGAGUUUUAAAGUUGUUUAAAAAAUGUUUUGGGUUUAUAGGUGCAUUGAUUUUUGCCAUCUCUGCUCUGUCAAUGCCUGGGAUAACAAUAUAUUUUGUUUGUGGUACUCCAUUUCUUUAAUUCAGUUAAAAUGUUUUGUGAUUUGUAUCUUUUUCAUUUGCUGGAAUUUUUUUUAGAGUGUUUAUUUCUGUCACUUCUAUUUCUAGACUUUUAUUAUUUACUUAUAUUUUACUUUACAUAAUGAGACUGUCUAUAAAAAGUUAACCAUUUCAUGACAUAAAAAAAAAUCAUACGGAAAGAAAAUAUACUUCUACAG
rnacentral:lncRNA from 12 species